GCCGGAGGCCGGCCGAACCCGAGCUGACGGCGGACCGCUCGGGUUAACUAGCUGGGCGGUUGGGUUAGAUGCUUAAACGGGAGGAGUUAAGGGAGCCUGGAACACCUAGCUAAGACUGGAAGAAGAGGAUGGUUAGAAGAGGUGAGCUAGGGGUGAGGCAAGGAUAGGACAGGGGCACCCACCCCCUUCCUCCACCCUGUAUCUCAAUCCUCUGCUUACAUCCAGGAAGCUGGAGAGUUCAGUCUGUAGCAGGUCUUUCAUCUCCUUCUUGCUCAGCUUAUAUUUGUCCCCUUCCUUGCCCGAGUGGGCAUGGAACACAUUGAUGAGGGUCUCCAUGGCGGUCUCCAGCUCAGAGCCCAUUUCAGCAGCACACCUAUGCGUCCCCACAAUGAUGGAAGUGAAUUAUUGUAAACCAGGUUCAGAAAAUCUGGGAUCUGGUCCUGAUCUCACAGCUCAAAUAGCUACAAGAUGAGCCCCAAUGUACUUUAUCUUUCCUUCAGAUUUUGCAAUGUAGGAGUAACCCUAGCACACCUAGAUCCGGUGCAGUGUUUUGGGUCCCUCCAUCAUUUCCCAGUCAGAGGGAGCCAGGGAUGACCAUGGAGAUGAAGCGAUAGGAACUGGACUGUCUUUGGAAGCCUGAGGAAAAUAUCUGCAGUGGCUGGCUCCAGGCUGGGGAGCGGGAGGGGAGGCAUGGGUAGACACCGGACCAGGCAGGCUUUAAGCUCUAUUUUUACCUUCCAGGCCUGUCACAGCUAAGCUUUGCUGUUGAUUUUAAGUGGGCUGAGAUCUCCUCUGCUUACCCAGGAGAAGUCUAAUACCUUUGGUGAGCUGAUGGAGGGGUGACAGUCAGGGCGUGAGACCCAAGAGUUGUUGGGGAGAGGUGUCUUACUGUUCCCAAGCUUCUGUCAGCCAGUGUGGCUCUUCCUCUCUUUAGACCCUGAGGAUUAAGCCCAGGUCCCUUUGGCUUUAUCUCCAUCUUUUUGUGCUUGGGAUUUAUUUAUUGAUAACAGCCUAUGCUGUCCUGGAACUAUCUCAAGCAGACCCUCAACAUAUGGGCAGUCCUGUCUGUCUCCUUGUGCUGAGAUGCUGGUCCAAACGAGCCAUUAUGCCUGGCUCCCCCUCUCCCCACAAGUAUGUCAUUUUGGCUUCUUUGCGGGGGAACAUGACUGCCUGUUCUAGUCCUUUUCUCUGCAAAGUCGCUGCUUUCCAUCAGGUAGGUAGAAGGAAGGGAGAGGAAAUGUCUCCCUGAUGCUGUCCAUUCCUGCCUUGGGCAAGCUCUGGUUUGGUAGCUACAGUGGGAGCAGGAUAGGGCUGGUUUGUGUUGGAUAAAGGGCUGAAUGUAUGAGGUCAUUUGAGCUCAAGGGCUGGGUGAAAGUGGAAGAAUGGAGAGGUCUUUCAAGAAGAGACUACUGGCUAGGGGGCCUCAGUCCUUUGGCCUGGGAGGGUCAUGCCUUCCAUAGCCUCAGGGGCAGCUCAGGUGUCUCAGCUCAGGUGUCCUCAUCUUUCCUCACCACUGAGUAUACUGGACAAUGGGUCCUGAUUAGAUGACAUCCCAGCUCUUCAAUGGAGCCCUUGUGACUGUCACCUGAACUCCCGUCACAAGAAGCAGUUGUUACAGAGACAGUGGGAGAGAGAAUUCAAGCCGGGCUGAUCAAAGGGAUAAGAGGGUGCUCAAGGGAGGAAUUUGGAUGGCUCAGUUACCAUUCUCAUCUGUGAGGGGCAUCUGGAGGUUGCCUGGAACCCUCUAGCAGCUUGGAGGGUUUAUGUAGGGGAGGACCUAGAGUUGGAGCAGUGGGAAACA